rnacentral:lncRNA from 1 species
CUCCAUUACACUGCACGUUUUUCAUCAGCUCCAGCCAGACAUCACCCGUGGCCGCGAGGGAACAGAUUUUCAAUGGGAAAAGUUCCCCGGGAGGGUCCUUGUUGCUGAUUCCCGCCGCGCCCUGCGCUGUCUGGCCCCUGCCCCCACCUGGCUUGUCUGACGGAGACAGCAGAUGGGUGGAGCGAGCUCAAAGCAAGGACUUGGGGUCAGGAAGACCAGGCCCCGUCAUAGGAACUCCCCUUACCCGCUGGGUGACCUUGGGGAAGUUACUUAUGCUCCCUGAGCCUCGGAGUCCCCCAUAACAUGGGGGCUCAACCUUCACCUUGUGGGGUCAACAGCAUGGAGGGACAGCACCCUGCCCAGGGCUGGCACACAGUGACUUUCCACAGAUAUUAGUUCUCACCCUGCUAGGGGUUAAAACAGGCUCUAGAAUGAAAUGAGAGACAGUGAGUUCGAGGCGACUCAACCAAGCCACUGAAAAAUACCAAAGGGAAAGCAGCAGACAGCCAGCAUCCCCAGAGUCUCUGGCAGGGGCUGGACAGGCCCCAGGACCCUGGUCAAGCUCCAUCAGGGAAAGUCCUGACCCCCAGCCCAAGUGCAUCUGGGCACAACCAAAAGAGAAGCCGCUUUUCCAGUACCAGGGGUGGAGAAUGAGAGAGCCAUGAUCCCAAGGCCACAGCCAGGCAAGGAGGCCGGAGGGAUCUGAAAAAGGUCACCAAGGGCUCCUGACCCUUGCCAAGCUGAGUACCAGGAGGCCAGCCUUGUGGCAGGGGGGAAUCAGGACAGCUGGGCUGUAGUUGAGGCUUUGCCUUCUCCUGGCUACAUGUUGCUAGUCAAGUACUUAACUUCAAUUUUCCCAUGUGUAAAAUGCGGCUGACACCCUCUACCUCCCAGAGCAUUUGUGAGGAGCAAAUGAAGUAUGGGAGAGGGGAGGAAACUCACAACCAGCAUGAAGAAGAUGGGGCCAAGUUUGUGUGGGAGUCUCCUUUCCCAUGCUCAACACUGCUCCCAUCCCAAGAGCCCCUGAGGGAACUGGAGUCAAAUGCCUAGCCUGGCAUUUUUAACUGUCUGCUCUGCCAGAGUGACAGGGCCUCUGGGUGGGAGGAGAGGUUAGGGGAAGACUGUGAGCCUCAGGCUUAGUGCUUUGAGAGCCCUUUUUAAAGAAUGAGGCUCCUCCUCUGCCAGCACUACCCCCCAGCUGUCCCGCCCCCAGGGUCUCAGUGCAAGAGUCAGCCCCACCUGGAGGAAAGUUAUUUUCCCAUCAAAUCCUGAAUCCAGGUGGAAAGGCAAGGUUGAUAUGGAAUCCAGAGCCUCAGUUCCCUGCCAAUGGGAAGCAAACUCACUCCUUGAUUUUCCCAUCUGUGAAAUGGGACCACAGCCAGUAAUUAUGAGGUGCUAUUUGAACUGGUGGGUAAUCUCUUUUAUUAUUAUUUAUUUAUUUAUGUAUUUAUUUUGAGGCAGAGUCUUGCCCUGUCACCAGGCUGGAGUGCAGUGGUGCGAUCUCGGCUCACUGCAACCUCUGCCUCCUGGGUUCAAGCGAUUCCCCUGCCUCAGCCUCCAGAAUAGCUGGGACUACAGGUGUGCGCCACCACGCCCGGCUAAUUUUUUGUAUUUUAGUAGAAACGGGGUUUCACCAUGUUGGCCAAGAUAGUCUUGAUCUCCUGACCUCGUGAUCUGCCCGCCUUGACCUCCCAAAAUGCUGGGAUUACAGGUGUGAGCCACUGUGCCCGGCCUUUUAUUAUUUUUUUAAUUUUUUUAGAGACAGGGUUUCACUCUAGCCCAAAUGAGAGUGCAGCAGAGCCAUCAUAGCUCACUGUAACCUUGAACUUCUAGGCCCAGGUGACUCUCCCGAAUAGCUAGGAUUACAGAUGUGCACCACCAUGCGUGGCUAAUUUUUUUCUUUUUUUUUUUUUUUUAGAGACAGGGUCUUACCAUGUUGCCCAGGCUGGUUUCAAACUCCUGGCCUCAAGUGAUGCUCCCGCCUCGACCUCCCAAAAUGCUGGGAUUGCAGGCAUGAGUCACCACACCCAGCCUGGGGUGACCUCUAGAGGCUGCUGAAUCCAUUGCCCUGCCUUCUACACUCACUCUUACCCACUCCACCCCUACCUGCAAUAGGAUUAUCUCUGCUGGCGAAACAACCAGCCUCUUUGGAGAUGGCAGCCCACCAUUUGUCAAGCCAGGAAGACCUUCUGACAGUCUACCUUAAAUCUCUCUUUGGUACCCUCAGGGAAAAUUGAAACAACGAACAGCAAAAAGAUAAAUGCAUAUGGAUAGGCAAUGCCACACUAUUUUUUUAAAAUACCCGCAAAGAGGGUGGGAGAGCGGGAAUUACCUUCAGACACAAUGCUCUUUACACUAAACAUCUUGGCGAAAAAUAUGGCUGUGUAAUUCUUUUUUCUCCUUGGCAAAGAGAAAGGCUGAGGCUGGGCAGAAAGGCAGAGGGAC